rnacentral:rRNA from 1 species
CCAUGCAUGUCUAAGUAUAAGCACUUUAUACUGUGAAACUGCGAAUGGCUCAUUAAAUCAGUUAUCGUUUAUUUGAUAGUACCUUACUACAUGGAUACCUGUGGUAAUUCUAGAGCUAAUACAUGCUGAAAACCCCGACUUCGGAAGGGGUGUAUUUAUUAGAUAAAAAACCAAUGCCCUUCGGGGCUCCUUGGGUGAGUCAUAAUAACUUAGCGAAUCGCAUGGCCUUGCGCCGGCGAUGGUUCAUUCAAAUUUCUGCCCUAUCAACUUUCGAUGGUAGGAUAGUGGCCUACCAUGGUGGCAACGGGUAACGGGGAAUUAGGGUUCGAUUCCGGAGAGGGAGCCUGAGAAACGGCUACCACAUCCAAGGAAGGCAGCAGGCGCGCAAAUUACCCAAUCCCGACACGGGGAGGUAGUGACAAUAAAUACUGAUACGGGGCUCUUUCGAGUCUCGUAAUUGGAAUGAGUACGAUCUAAACCCACUAACGAGGAACAAUUGGAGGGCAAGUCUGGUGCCAGC